AUUCCAUGAGUUGGGCAGUGCUGCAAGAGAGCCUUAAACCGUUGCCACAACUCAUAAAUGGUCUCACCCGCAAGUUGCUUGAAGGUUAGGAUGUCAUCCCUAAGACU
rnacentral:snoRNA from 1 species